rnacentral:lncRNA from 1 species
UGGGUAAGGGUGGUAGGCAUGUGGGUAAGGGUGGUAGGCAUGUGGGUAAGGGUGGUAGGCAUGUGGGUAAGGGUGGUAGGCAUGUGGGUAAGGGUGGUAGGCAUGUGGGUAAAGGUGGUAGGUAUGUGGGUAAGGGUGGUAAGCGUGUGGGUAAGGGUGGUACGGAUGGUUACAGGUGUUGUUAUUCAUUACGUACGUUAGUGGAUAACUUCAGCUGGUCUGUCUGCCUGUAGCGUGCAGAGGGAGGCACAGUGUGCUCGUCGGUGUGUGUGUAGGCCGGGUUAGUGAUGGAAACCAGGCUGGUGAGGCGUGGGUGGU